CGUGCAGGCGGUUCGGUAAGUUGGGCGUGAAAUCUCCCGGCUCAACUGGGAGAGGUCGUCCAAUACUACCGGACUCGAGAGCAGUAGAGGAAGACGGAAUUCCCGGUGUAGUGGUGAAAUGCGUAGAUAUCGGGAGGAACACCAGUGGCGAAGGCGGUCUUCUGGACUGUUUCUGACGCUCAGACGCGAAAGCUAGGGUAGUAAAUGGGAUUAGAGACCCGGUAAUCCUAGCCGUAAACGAUGUGAACUUGGCGUCGGUGGCUUAAACACCAUCGGUGCCGCAGCUAACGCGAUAAGUUCACCGCCUGGGGACUACGAUCGCAAGAUUAAA
rnacentral:rRNA from 1 species